GCUUCCUUUUCCCCACGCCUUUCUUCUCCAUACUUGUCAUCUCCUUCCCGACUCUUCCCGUCUCCAGCAUCGCGCCGAGCGCCGCAUCCGCUCCCGCCUCCAUCCUCACUGUCGCCCUCAGCGAGGCCGCGCUCGGCAGUGCCGUCGUCGUUCCCCACCGACGUCGUCGCUGUCGACCACCGUGACGCCCUCUCCGGUCUUGGGUCGGCACAAACCCGACCUAGGGUUUUGGCCCUUCAUCAGGUGGUAGCAGCAGCACCGACGGCCCCCUCCCUUACCCUCCACCCCGCGCGGCGUAGCCCUGUGACAUGGCUCCUCGCAGGGCGUGGGUCCCAUGCGGCGGCGCGACUUGGGCAGACACCAUCGUUGGCCAUAGUCGUCUCUUUCCAUGUGAGCUCCUGCACACAGGCGGCGCGGCUCUGCUCUCCCUCGAUCCAUCCACACGCUGGUUUACUCUCCCUCUUUCCCUUCCUCCCUCCCUCCCCUCUCUCCUGAUGUGGGAUAUGCAUGGACGCAGGAUCGAUUUCACCGUAGAUGUGGUGUUUUAAUUCUAUUCUCCCACCAAUCUACACAUGGUUAUUGUGAAUUGUUGUUGUUAUUAACCCCUAGAGUACCCGUGGAGCUCUUCCAGAGAACCACUGGCCGUCUCCUCAGAAGUUUUCAGCACUUUGAUUCACUAUCCUGUGGUUCAUAAAUGUUGUAGCUGAUUGAGAUGAUUCUGUCACGAUACCUGCUCCUGUGAUUUGCUAUGUUCCUUUGGGUUUACUUUCUGCUUAUGCUUGAUUUUUACAGUUCUGUUGUAAGUCCUGAACUCUAAGCACAUGAGCAUGCCCACUAAUAUUGGUUUCACACUAUCUGCACUGCAGUAGUACUGAAGUUUUUGGGUUCAUUGUUUCCAUUUCAGCCAUGUGCGAUGAUGAGUAUGAUUUACAUCUACAAUUGAGGGAAUGGGCUACUGCUAUGAUGAUUGUACCAUAAUUUAGGUUUAUUUGUGUUCAACAUAAUAAUCAUUAUGUAGCUUUCCAUAGGUUACAUCUUGAUGUUUUUAGAUGCCUGAGGCAAUGCUCGUGACCUAAGAUCAGUCUUUCUCUUACAUUGUUUGUCUAUAUUGACAACUUAGACAAUCACCAUGGCCAAUGUUAGUGCUAUUUUUGCCAACUCUCUCUAGCUGUCCCAUGAUAGCAGAGGCAAUGGUCAAUUGGUUGUCUAGGUUUCCUUGCAUCUAUUCCUACCUGAUCUGUUUUGUUUACUUGGACACAUCAAUAAGAGAUAAUACUGAUUGCCUGUCACAUGCUAUGCGGCUGGAACUUGCUCUUGAUUAUGAGAUUUGAGGUUGUGUUGCCAUUGUCUUUGAUAAUUUCUUCCUUUGCCUGUUUGUUACGUGUGAGCAUUGCCUGUGAUGACAUACUAUUGCUUCUGAGCACAUGCCCUAUCCCGAUGAUUACAUUGGCAUACACUUUGGUUGUGUGCAGUCACUUUUAGUUUACCUAUUUCUUUGAUUUUUUGGGGGUAUGAAUCUUGUGCUUUGUUGUGCUCUAAUUGCUUCUAUCUUGGUCCAAUUAAUGUUUUUUUUGAUAUUUUUGCGAACAUUGGUGAUGCUUGGCUGGUACUUGGUAAGAAAACACCUUAUGUAUCUUUUUUGGACCUAGAACAGUAUGAUAUAUAUUUGUUGCUUAUGUAGUUUGGAGCAUGUGUCAGAUUAAUUUUAGGUGAUAUGGGCACAGCUGAAGGUCACUGAUUUGUAGGCACUUAUCUGAGUAAUUCAUACAACUUUUAUACACUUGGAUUGUCUUCAGUUUAUUCCAUUUCACUUGAGUGUCUACUAUCUGUUUUUUUACCAUGCCUCUGACCUUUGAAUAUAGUGUUACCGGCAAACAUGACUUGGUAUUUUGCCUAUUCUUCCCAUGCAUACAGGGACAGUCGAUGAUCAUAUUUGUAAUAUCUAGCAAGAUGUCACUUGAUUAGUUGACCCAACAGCUGCAAACAAAAUAGAUAUGUUGUAGGUUUUAGUAGUACCUGAAACACUUCUUUGUGUAAUUUAUAUGAUGUUACUUACCAUUGAUUGUUUUUCUAUUUUUUGGAUAUGGUGCAAUGUUCUUAUGAUAUCAGUACUUAUUGUUUUUAGUGCUAACCUACCAAUGGAACACUACCUUUAGCUGACAAAAAGCUAGCUUCUGUUAUUUAUAUUCUAUAUUAUAUUAUAGCAACCAUGUAAAGGAAUUAUACUUUUUGGCCCACCUGGCAUGGAGAAGGCAAUGCUUGCUAAGGCUAUACCAACUAAGCCUGGUGGUAAUUCAUAGACAUAUCGAUGUCGACCAUCUUUUCAAAGGUAUUUAUCAGUUGGCUAAGUGUCUGUUUUUUGAGUAAUUUGAGUAUAUGCAUUGUAGAAUCUAAAUUUUCUAUUUUUAGUGCCUUUUGUGAAGGACAUUUUUUUUUGAAAGUCGUGUUUUCACCGGCAAGUGAAAUUGCUCCAAGUGUAAUUUUUGUGCAUGAGGUGACUUAUUAUAGCAGUAUGGUGAUCCAUGAGUGUUUCGUAUUUUUUCAGCUGUACGAGGACACCAUACCUAUAGUUUCUUGCCAAUCCUGUAUUCAUGCACACUUCUCUCCUCAUUUAUCAUGUCCUUUUUUAUGCUUACCUUAUGGUCUGUACCUCAUACUCAUACAGUCUACAAAUCAACCUUGUUCCUAUAAAUCUUUGGUUUCUACUAACUGCAGCAAUUCUUGGUUGUAACUAGGCUUCGAAAUUAUAGUGUCCUCUUCGUACCAGUCAUCAACAUAACUUCCUGUUUUCAUGAUAUAUACCUCCUGAACUUAGAAUCUAUUUCUGUGAUUCUUGUUUCAAGUUUUUUUCCGGUGUGGGAGAAUACCGUGUCCCUCUCUGCUUCUAUGUUCUUCUUCGUCCGCAUACACACUAUGUCUCUUGGUGUUCCUUUGGGAAGGUACUGCUGAGCAGAGAGGGCUUCUCAUCCUGUGUUCAUCCAAAGUGCGUGGGAGAUCGUCUGACGUACAUGGGAGACAGACAGGAACGAUGGCUUGGCAUGGGUUGAGGACUAGGGAGUGCUAUGCUGGUGGGUGUGGCACCAAGGGAUGAUGAAUUCAAGAUUCACCCAAUGAACUUCCUGUCCGACUAUAAACCGUAGACUUACAUGACCAAUUUCGUAAAUGCAAAGUGCUAUUUCCUUUGUAGCAUUAAUUUUUCCUUGAGCAGUACUGAAAUUGCUACACCCCAACGCAAUGUUGCUCAUGUUGUGGAUAUAACGACGUAUACUUCCUAGAUUAAUCUAUAUUCCUUAAUUUACUAGAUUUAUUGUUGUCUUGAGUCGAACCUCAGAUUACUAAUGUUUCUGCAUUUUUUUGAUAGUCACUAAGAUGGUGACUACCCCUGUACGCUCAUCAUUAAGCAAUGUUGUAUAUGUUU